rnacentral:rRNA from 1 species
UACAGAGGGGGCAAGCGUUGUUCGGAAUUACUGGGCGUAAAGGGCGCGUAGGCGGCCCGCUAAGUCGAACGUGAAAUCCCCGAGCUCAACUCGGGAACUGCGUCCGAUACUGGCGGGCUUGAAUCCGGGAGAGGGAUGCGGAAUUCCAGGUGUAGCGGUGAAAUGCGUUGAUAUCCACAGGAACUCCGGUGGCGAAGGCGGCACGCUGGACCCCUUCUGACGCUGAGGCGCGAAAGCCAGGGGAGCGAACGGG